AGGCUGAGGCUCUCUGCUCAUAUUUGGAAACUCGUAUUAAAUACCCUAAUAAGGUUGCCUCUUUGGGAUAUCUGGGGGUGGGGGUGGGGGUGUGUCUUUUGCUGCUGUUUUGUUUCUUCAUGCUGAGGCAAUUUGCAAUUUCCCAAGCAUAUUUUGGUUUCUGAAAAUGCAUGAAAUGUAUGUAUGAUUUCUCUUUUUUAACUCCUGUGACUAAUUACAAUGAAAUGUUUGUAUUACAUUUUGUUUUCUAUUUCAUGGAACUAUCAUAAAGACUAGACUUGAAGAUGUAGAUUCCCAGACUCAACUGCACCGUCUGAGAUCUAAGGUUAACUAUGGACUCUACACACACACACACACACACACACAUACAUACAUCCCCACACAUGUGUGAGUGCACACAAUCACAUACAUAGCACACCCACACACUUGUACUUCUUAGUCUCUGUUCCAAAGAAGCAAAGGCUUUUUACACAGAGCUGGUUUCUCCUUCUUUGAUGGACUACACCUUUCCUGAAGGCCUGUCUCAAGUGCAUGGUGUUAGAGACCAGGACCGAUGCCUGAGGAGCCUCACGCCCCCGUCUGCUUUGGGCACCCUUUAGCUCAUGGGUGCAGUCCUGGUCAGUGGCCCUGUGCUUGAUCAUCUGCACCCAGAGGACACCUGAGUUCUUUCCAGAAAAAUACAUUGAUUCUGGUUCUAUAAGGUCUACCUUCCAGGAAGGAUAAGCUUAUCUCUGGAGUCUGAGUAUUGCAUACAGGAGCUGGAGUCCAAUGAUACCAAGAUGAAUGAAUGGCUUUCGACAGAACAGAGCUCUUUAAAAGAUUUAUUUAUUUAUUAUUUAUACACCAUUCUGUCUGCAUGUGUGCCUUUGCAUCAGAAGAAGACACCAGAUCUCACUAUAGAUGGUUUUGUGAGCCACCAUGUGGUUGCUGCUAAUUGAACUCAGGACCUCUGGAAGAACAGCCAGUGCUUUUAACCUCUGAACCAUCUCUUUAGCCGGCAGACUCAGUUUCUUUUAUGACAGCUAUGUUGAUUUUAGAAUGAUUUUGAUGUAUUAAAGAUGAAAUUAAUUUGCAUUUCUCUGGUGGCUACUGUGGUUUUUCAUAUCCAUAUUGGCCAUUUGUAUUCCAUCUUUUGAUAAUGUUUCAUCAGCUCAUUUAUUGAUUGGGUUGUUUCACUCUUGCUGUUUAGUUAUUUUGAGUUCUUUGUUUUAGAUACUAAUUCUAGAUACUAAUCCUUUAUCAGAUGUACAGAUAGUAAAGAUUUUUCUCCCGUUCUUCAGGUUGCCUCUUGAUUCAAUUAACUAUUUCCUUUGCUGUGCAAAAGGAAAAUUAUGAUUUCACCUCACUCCAGUCAGAAUGGCAGUGUUUGAGAAAGCAGACAACACAUGCUGGCAAGUUGUGGGCAAAAGAAACCAGGGUAUAUUGCUGGUGGGAAUGUAAACUGGUUCAGCCACUGUGUAAGUCAUAUGUAAGUUCCAUAAGUAAGUUCCUCAAAAACUGAAAAUAGAUCUAUCACGUGACCCAGGUAUUCCAUUCCUGGGUAUUUACCCA